UGCAGGACAAGGGCGCGGUGGCGUCGUGGGAACGGUCGCGCACCUCUACAACGACGCCUCCAUCCUGUCGCCGACCUCUUCGGAGAUUCUCAUCCUCCCGUUCGCGGUUCAUCACCUGAUUUCGACUGCUGAAUUGUGUGUGUGCGUGCGUGCGUGCGGCGCAGGUGGUCAAGAAACUGGCGGUAAAAUAUCCCGGGUCAACUGGCGGCGCGGUAGCUCGUCACCUCUACCCGCUCCACUACGACGAGAAACCCAUGUCAGGCUAGGGCUUUGAAGCUUGAAAUCAUCAUCACCAUCACUAGAGUCUCAAGCUAUUUUUGAAGAAUUUCAGAAAACCAGGGCCUCCAUACCAGGUGUACCAAGCGGCAAGAACAAUUCAACAAAACAUGGAGAUGCUCGAUCCUGGUUGAUUCCAUUUUGCAGGCUCAGGCCAUCAUA